GACAGAGGGUGCGAACGUUGUUCGGAAUUACUGGGCGUAAAGGGCGCGUAGGCGGCCCGCUAAGUCAGACGUGAAAUCCCUCGGCUCAACCGGGGAACUGCGUCUGAUACUGGCAGGCUUGAAUCCGGGAGAGGGAUGUGGAAUUCCAGGUGUAGCGGUGAAAUGCGUAGAUAUCUGGAGGAACACCGGUGGCGAAGGCGGCAUCCUGGACCGGUAUUGACGCUGAGGCGCGAAAGCCAGGGGAGCAAACGGG
rnacentral:rRNA from 1 species